GAUAAACGCUGGCGGCGCACAUAAGACAUGCAAGUCGAACGGACUUAUCUCAUUCUUUUAGAUUGAGAGCGGUUAUUGGCGGACUGGUGAGUAACACGUAAGCAACCUGCCUAUCGGAGGGGAAUAACAGUGAGAAAUCAUUGCUAAUACCGCAUAAGCUAGCAGCAUCGCAUGAUGUAGCUAGAAAAGGAGUAAUCCGCUGAUAGAUGGGCUUGCGUAUGAUUAGCUAGUUGGUGGGGCAACGGCCUACCAAGGCGACGAUCAGUAGCCGGACUGAGAGGUUGAACGGCCACAUUGGGACUGAGAUACGGCCCAGACUCCUAAGGGAGGCAGCAGUCGGGAAUAUUGCGCAAUGGAGGAAACUCUGACGCAGUGACGCCGCGUAUAGGAAGAAGGUUUUCGGAUUGUAAACUAUUGUCGUGAGGGAAGAAAUUGACAGUACCUCAGGAGGAAGCUCCGGCUAACUAUGUGCCAGCAGCCGCAGUAA
rnacentral:rRNA from 1 species